CAGUUUAUCUCUUUCAAUAAGACCUUUCCAUUUGUGUUUGGCUCAGAUGUGACAGAGUAAUCAAAGAAAUCACAAUAAAUCUCUGUUCCCACACCUUGUGAAAUGUUUCAUUUCUCUCCACCAGCCCUUGUACUCUGCCUUUUCAGGGCCCAGACCAACACUUGAAAGAAGUCUUUAUUUCUUAUUCACAUUACCUUACACCAAUGCCUGAUCAUGAUAGGGAGUUCCCGUUGUGGCACAGUGGAAAUGAAUCCAACUAGUAUCUAUGAGGACGCGAGUUCAAUCCCUGGCCUUGCUCAGUGGGUUGGGGAUCCAGCGUUGCCAUGAGCUGUGAUGUAGGUUGAAGACUCAGCUUGGAUCUGGCGCUGCUGUGGUUGUGGCGUAGGCCGGCAGCUGCAGCUCCAAUUCAACUCUUUCCCUGGGAACAUCCAUGUGCAGCGGGUGUGGCCCUAAAACCAAUAAAAAAAAAAAGGGGGGAGGAAACUUGGGCACAAAGGCAGGCAUGGCAAUGGGGAGAACUCCCUGUGAAGAUAAAGGAAGAGAUCAGGGCAAUGCAUUUAUGAGUCAAGGAAUCCCCACAUUUGCAAGAGAUCUACUAGAAGCUGAGAAAGAGGCCUGGAACAGACUCACCUGCACAGCUCUUAGAAGGAAUUAACCCUGCUUACACCUUGAUUUUUGGACUUCUAGCCUAUAGAAACAUAAGACAAUACAUUUCUGUUGUUUAAGCCACUCCACUUUGGUAUUUUGUUGUGGUAGCCCCGGAAAACUGACAGCCACCAUGCAGACUCUGUAACACAUAGCACAAUGGGAGACAAGCUGCAAAUUAUAUAACACAAAAUUAUUCAGAAAAGUCAAAUAAAAAUUCAGAAGACAAAAGAAAUCCAAUAUGUGAUCAAUGUUUAUUUAUUGUACUCUAAUCAGUACAGUAUUUAGAAAAUGAGACCUCACUCAUUAUCACAGAUGUGACCAAGUAUUUUUAACUAUAUUAAUUGUUCAUAAAAAUAAAAUCCUUUAGUCUGGAAAAUAAUUGUAAUGCCCCCAAGAACUGUAUUCUCCAAGAUUCAUGCAUGUGAAAUUGGCAAACUUGUUUUCAAUUCACAGAGGAAAUCGAUAUUGCUCAGAAACUGGAAGAUAUUUAACUAUUGAAAUCCAGUCAGAGCUUUCAAUUCAGUGUAGGCAGGUUGUGAUUCUGAAGCUCUACGGAAUGAAGAGUGAUAGGCAAGGACAGCCUUCAUAAAUACCUUUCCCCAGAAUAUUUAGGAAUAGCUUCUAACCAUCAAACUCAGGCCAUGCUUUCAUAUGCUUUUCUAAUUUGCUUAAAAGUACAAAGAGAAAUAAUUCAAAUAAUAUGGAAAAUAAGAUUGUGUUUUAGUGGAUCCAGUGCAAUUUGUUGGCAAAUAUUGAAAUUCGUUUGUGAAUUAGGUGUAAAAUCACCAGACACAGAGUUAAGAUAAACAUGAUUCCAUUCUGUAACAACUGAGGUUAGUUGUUACUACAAAAAAGAGACCAUGAUAACAGGUUAUAUAGAUUUUUCUGUAUUUUUCUAUCUUAUUUCUCACCAGCCACCACACUUCUUCCACAUUUGUUCCAGCUCUAACUUAUAAGAAUGCAUCAUUCAAAAAACUAUUUAAGGAGUUCCCUUGUGGGAAUAGUGAUUAAGGAUCUGGCAUUGUCACUGCAAUGGCUCAGGUCAAUUCUAUAGCACAGAUUCAAUGCCUAGGCCUGGAAGCUUCUGCAUGCCACAGGUGCAGCCAAAACAACAACAACAACAACAAAACUUAAAAAUUUAUUGGAAACUAUUAACUUUUUCAUUAAUUCAACAAAUAUUUAUUUUGUUUCUGUAGUGGGCCAGGCACCAUCCUAGGAUACACUGGUAAAUGAAAUAGGUACAAUUUCUGCUUUUGUAAAACAUACCCAUUUGUAAGUUUGUGUUUAGUGCCAAAGGAGUGCAUAGAUAUGGAAUAUUCCCACAAGAAGUUCAUGGUAUAUCACCAUGGCCAGCCACACCCAAGAUCUCUCAAGUAACAAUACAAUAUAUGACACAGGAUGAGUCCAGUAGGUGAUGUUAACAAUUACUGCUGAGUUAAGGAAAAUCACUGUAUUUCAGACACCCAUUGCUGUUCUGCCUAGAACCCUUCUUCUUCUAUGAAAUGUCCUUACCCCCACUCUAUAUCCGUGAUUAAAGCAGAGGCACUUAUACUUCAAUGUGACCCUGACCCCAGGAACUAUGCACAUCACCUACAAUCAUCUAGAAUCUGAAAUGGAUUAUGAUAAUUGGUAUAAUUGAGUUGAAACCCAGAGAGCAGCUAAGGUUUUGCUGUCACCUGUGAUGUAAAGAAAGUUGACUUAAAUCCCCAUUUUUGUCUUGUGACUUAUAAAGUAUCUUCAGCCUCCAAGUUCUGCUCUGCUGAUUGCUUUUUUUUUUUCACUCUGCCUUGUGAGUGCACCUUUAUUUCCACUGUUUUGAACAAAAUAUACGUCCCCCCCCAAUAAAGAUAAAAGCCACAUGUCGCGAGACCUUUAAAUGUGUGGCAUACUUUACUGAAUGCUUUAGAAAUACAGAUAGGAUGUACAUCACCAAAACAGACACCCUUACAGGGACUAUUAAUGUCUUUAUCCUAAUCUUUAGGCUCUUCUGCCAUGUUACUCAGCUGUUUUCCCCAGUCCCCUCUCUGUUCACUGCAAACUCCUACUUAUUUCUCAAGCACAGCAAGUGGGCCACUUAUUACCAGGUCUUUCGCUAUUCGAUUGCAUAUUUGGGGAUGAUCAAGACCUUUUCCUAAACAAAGGUAAAUUCUUCCCUAAAAUAAUUCUGUUCUCUGUUAAUCAGAUUUUUUUUUUUUUAAAUCCCCUCUACAGAACAAUAACCAAGUGCUUUGGAAAAAGAUAAAAAGGAGACAGUCCUUCUGGAAAGACUUAAAAGGUGAUAUUUAGUUGGGUUUGAAAGGAUUAGCUUCCUCAGGCCAAAAAAGAGAUGAAUGGCAUCCUUUGUGGAGGGGAUCCCAUAAGAAAGGAUAGAGAAAUAUAAAAAUACAGAGCAGGUUCCAAGAGUUUCGCUGCUAACCCAGGUAUUUCUCAAGUAGAAUUCCAGGUCAGAUUGAGAAGGUGAUUUAAGUGAGGGAGAGAAUCUUGAAAGAUGGUCCAUGGAAAUAGGAGUUUACUAUGAAUCCCCCAAAGUUUCUCUUCUUCAUGACAGGAGGACCCUGUGUUUUAAGCUAUCAGCUCUAGAAAUUGGUUUGUACCACUUCAACAACAUAUAUUACUUAGGAUGUGAUAAGCACACUGCUAAUCAUUGGUGAUGUAAGAUGAAUACAGUGCUGAAAAUGCUUAUACACUGGGAAAGAUCUAUUGCAAAGCUUCUUACACACAGUAUGGCCAGAUGGACACACAAUCUACAUCUAGUGUGAUAUCUUCAGCCUUUGGGGUAGAUUGAGAUAGUGAUCUCUUCAGCCUUUGGGGCAACUAGGAGGAAACUGGGAUGGCCAGAAUCUCCACCCAGUCUUCCCCAGUCACAGGAAAACUUCUCCCUUGACAUCCGUGUGCAAUGCAAAUAUCCAGCAGAGGAUGAGGAGGAUACUGUUGCAGAAGCCCAGGUGAGCUGGGUGAGAGUACAGUCAUGGGGUUGGUAAAGAACAACUGAAUUUGGGAGCUCUUAGUGUGGUAGAAUCAACAGAUAUUGGCAGUUGAAUUCUUAUGGAAAAUGAGGAUGAAGGAGAAGAUAAUGGAAUAAGCAUGAGGAGCAUUUGAAUGGGAAAAUUUCUGUUUUGAGCCACCCAUCAAACUGAAGUAGAUAUAAGUUUGGAGAAUUGAAAAUAUUUGAACCUGAUCCUGGGGGGAGAGAGUUUGUAUCCAAAAAUGACUGAGAAUUUCUGGAAUUCAAUGGUUUGUUUUCUGUUGUAUCUUCAAACUUUUCCCUUGUUAAACACCCCAAAAUAUGAGCCUUGACAGAGUCUUGGCUGUGGGCAAGUUGGAGGUGGGAUAUUUAUAGAGCUUUAGUUCUGGGCUGAAAUGGCUUAUUAGCACCUUUUUCAAAAUGAGGAGCUGAUUGGGAUUCAGCAAAAAUUGUGACAAUAGUUUAGGGUUGGUAGACCAAAUAAGGCAAGGGUUUUGAAGCAAGCCUUGAUUUGUAGCCAGUUGUUUGAUAAGCAAGAGUUUGCCCACGUGAGCAGACCACUGUCCCCAACAAAUUAAUUUGUAGGAACUUCCUAAAAAUAAAAAAGGAUUAAGCAGAUUUGGACUCAGGUUUACUCACUGCCAUCUAAGUUAAAGCUUGCAUCUAAAUAGCAGGGCUCCCUUUCUAUCUGAAGCUCACAUCUCAUCUCCUCCACUAUAUUGUUCUACGAAUUAUCCCCACUUCUUUCACAUUUUCUCUUUUCUUCUUCAUUGGAUCCUUCCUUCCUAAUGUGUUGUCUUCUAAUUUUCUUCUCACCUAUUUGACUGUUUUUUAAAAUUUCUUUUUCUGAGUUCCCAUUGUGGCUCAGCGGAAACAAAUCUGACUAGCAUCCAUGAGGACGCAGCUUCGAUUGCUGGCCUUGCUCAGUGGGUUAAGGAUCCAGCAUUGCCAUGAGCUGUGAUGUAAGUCACAGAUGCGGCUUGGAUCUGGCGUUACUGUGGCUGAGGCUGUGGCUAGCAGCUAUAGCUCCAGUUGGAUCCCUAGCCUGGGAACCUCCGUAUGCCUUGAGUGUGGCCCUAAAAAGACCAAAAAAAAAAAAAAAAAAAAA
rnacentral:lncRNA from 1 species